rnacentral:lncRNA from 1 species
GGGAGGGGGGUGGGGGGUGGGGGUGGGGGGUAUCGGGGAAACUGGGGAAGAUGGGAGAGCUGGAGGAGAGUCGUGGGGUCCGAGGAGCACCUCGGCAUCUGGAGUCUGGCAGGAAUGUUGAAGGACUGAGGGGCUAGCUCAGGCAGAGCAAAGGCAUCGCAAAGGCUGGAAAACAUCGGAGUGAAGCUGAAGGGCCUGAGCUAGGGUUGGAGAGGAAUGGGGAGCCAGACAUUCAUCCCGGUUACUUUUGGUUACAGGACGUGGCGGCUGGUCGGAUAAAGGGGAGCUGCUGGGAAGGGUUCGACCCCAGACCUGGGCAGUGAAGGUAUAGCUGGCAGCAGUGGGCAGGUGAGGACCGCCGUCUGCUGGGCAGGUGAGUCUCCUUCUUCUCUCUUGGCCUCGCUCCACUGACCUUCUAAACGAAGGUUUAGAGAGGGGGCCUGGUGAGAAGAAGCGGCUGGCCUCGCAGCAGAAUGGCACAUAGAAAGGCAGGAUAGUUAGCAAAGGAGACAUCGUCUCGGGGGGAGCCGAGACAGAAGGAGGCUGGGGGACCAUUGGCGACCCCAGGUGGAAAGAGCUCUUAGAGAGAAGAAAGAAGAGGUGCAGGGUUGCCAGUAAAGACUGAGGCCGCUGCCUCCAGGGAGGUGAUAGGAGUCCUUGGAGACAGUGGCAGAGACCAUGGGAUCCAGCAAGAACAGAAGCAUUCUAGGCUGGGGUCAAACAGGGCAAGAUGGGGUCACAAGACACAGAUGGGUCCCCAGCCGCCACAACAUCCCACCCACCGUAAUUCACUUAGAAGAAGGUUCAAGAGUGGCUCUGGCAAAGUCCCAAGUUUGCCAGAGCCUCAAUAACUGGAGAAUGGAAAAGAAGGGCAGUGCAGGGUGUCACCAGAAGGGGAGUGGGGGCUGCAGGUAUCGGACUCCAGAGGGAUUUUACAGCAAGGAGGCUGCAGUGGGUCCAGCCUGCAGACACACCAUUCCCAUGAGGCACUGCGGCCCAGGGACUGGUGCGGAAAGGGCCCACAGUGGACUUGGUACACUGUAUGCCCUAACCGCUCAGUCCCUGGGUCUGGCAUGACAGACAGAACAUUUCCAGGGGAGUCAAGGGCACAGGAUGAAGCCAGACGAGGCGAGGCAGGCGGGGCAGAAUGAAUGAGUUUCUAGGGAGGGAGGUUGGGUGCAGGUAGAGCGAGUAGCUGGGGUGGUGAGCCAGGGAGGCACUGGCCUCCAGAGUCCGUGGCCAAGGAGGGCCUUGCGGGCGGCGACGGAGCAGUGAUCGGUGUCUCGAAGAGCUCGGACUGGAGACUAGGCCAGGUCUCCAGCAGAGGUGGAUGUGCCUGCCAGUCACUGAAGGCGAGGAUGACAGGUGUGGUCAAUGUGACAGAAAGACAUGACAUGGUCCGGUGUGAUGGAGAGGACAGAAGGGCAGUCAUCCAGCCUUCUUGAACACCAUGGGCUGGCGCCUUGUCGUAGAAGCCGUCUGUUCUUUCACUUUUCCCAAAGAGCUAACACUUCUCUGCUGCUCUCUGGAUCCUCCUCCCCCUACCUUGAACCCUCAAGAUGAAAGUCCGUCUCGUUCUGAAUCAAGAAGAUGCUGCAAUCAGAACCACUACACUACCUGCCUCAGGAAUCUGCUCCAAGGUGAAGCUGAAAGAACAGAUGGUGUCAACAUUUUGAAAGAGCAGACUCAUAGCACCCACCCACCCCUGAGAAUCCAUCUUCAUGGCCAACUCUGCCUGACCCGGGAGACCACCACCCACAUCAUCCUGGAGCCAAGCCUCUACCCCGGGAUGACUUCAUCAUCUCCCUCCUGUCUUUUUCUUCUUCCUCCUUUCCUGUAAUUCUGUUUCUUUCCUUUUGUUCCUUCCUUGCUUGAGAGACUCAAAGCACCCGUGACUCUGUUUCCCCAUUUACCCCCUUUUGAAUUUGCACUAAGUCGAUUGCACUGGUUUGGAGUCCCGGAGAUAGCUUUGAGUCUCUCCGUAUGAAUGUAUACAGCGAGUGUGUAAACCUCUUUGGCAAUGCUGCCCCAGUACCCACCUGUCGUCCAUCUCCGUCUGAGGGCAACUGGGUGUGGCCGUGUGCUUGAGGCCUCGCCUUCCCCUCGCCUAGUCUGGAAGCAGUUCCAUCAUAAAGUGUUCAACAUGCCCUACUUCAUCCUUUGCCCCUCCUCACCAGGGCCUCACCAGAGGUCCUGGGUCCAUCAAUAAAUACAGUUACAGUCA